UGGGGAAUUUUGGACAAUGGGCGAAAGCCUGAUCCAGCAAUGCCGCGUGUGUGAAGAAGGCCUUCGGGUUGUAAAGCACUUUUGUCCGGAAAGAAAUCCUUGGCUCUAAUACAGUCGGGGGAUGACGGUACCGGAAGAAUAAGCACCGGCUAACUACGUGCCAGCAGCCGCGGUAAUACGUAGGGUGCAAGCGUUAAUCGGAAUUACUGGGCGUAAAGCGUGCGCAGGCGGUUUGCUAAGACCGAUGUGAAAUCCCCGGGCUCAACCUGGGAACUGCAUUGGUGACUGGCAGGCUAGAGUAUGGCAGAGGGGGGUAGAAUUCCACGUGUAGCAGUGAAAUGCGUAGAGAUGUGGAGGAAUNCCGAUGGCGAAGGCAGCCCCCUGGGCCAAUACUGACGCUCAUGCACGAAAGCGUGGGGAGCAAACNGGAUUAGAUACCCUGGUAGUCCACG
rnacentral:rRNA from 1 species